UACAUGUGGGGCAAGCGUUGUUCGGAAUUACUGGGCAUAAAGGGUGCGUAGGCGGCUUGUUAAGUCAGGGGUGAAAGUUUUCGGCCCAACCGGAAAAUUGCCUUUGAUACUGGCGAGCUUGAGUGCGUGAGGGGUAACCGGAACGAGUGGUGUAGCGGUGAAAUGCGCAGAUAUCAGGAGGAACACCGGUGGCGAAGGCGGGACUCUGGGCCGAUACUGACGCUGAGGAGCGAAAGCGUGGGGAGCAAACAGG
rnacentral:rRNA from 1 species